rnacentral:lncRNA from 1 species
UGAUAAUGCAGUGUGUGCAAGGUGUGGUAAGCUACACAGGGGAGUAUGCCGGUUUGGGACGACAGCCUGCUACAGGUGUGGGCAAGAGGGACACAUGUCUUGGGAAUGUCCGAGAGCAGUUCCUACGGCACAGCCCCAGCAGACAACUUCGGGUAGCGUAGCACAGCCAGCAGCUUCAGCCGCAACACAGGCUAGUGGCAGAGGCCGAGGGAGAGGGUCAGCCUCUUCNN